rnacentral:rRNA from 1 species
GAUGGACGCUGGCGGCGUGCCUAAUACAUGCCAGUCGAGCGAACGGACGAGAAGCUUGCUUUUCUGAUGUUAGCGGCGGACGGGUGAGUAACACGUGGAUAACCUACCUAUAAGACUGGGAUAACUUCGGGAAACCGGAGCUAAUACCGGAUAAUAUUUUGAACCGCAUGGUUCAAAAGUGAAAGACGGUCUUGCUGUCACUUAUAGAUGGAUCCGCGCUGCAUUAGCUAGUUGGUAAGGUAACGGCUUACCAAGGCAACGAUGCAUAGCCGACCUGAGAGGGUGAUCGGCCACACUGGAACUGAGACACGGUCCAGACUCCUACGGGAGGCAGCAGUAGGGAAUCUUCCGCAAUGGGCGAAAGCCUGACGGAGCAACGCCGCGUGAGUGAUGAAGGUCUUCGGAUCGUAAAACUCUGUUAUUAGGGAAGAACAUAUGUGUAAGUAACUGUGCACAUCUUGACGGUACCUAAUCAGAAAGCCACGGCUAACUACGUG